rnacentral:tRNA from 1 species
UGAUCCCGCCCGGGCUCGAACCGGGGACCUUCUCCGUGUAAAGGAGAUGCCAUAACCAACUAGGCCACAAGACC